AGGACGAACGCUGGCGGUGUGCUUCACACAUGCAAGUCGAACGGGGUAGCAAUACCCAGUGGCGGACGGGUGAGUAACACGUGGGAAUCUGCCUUUAGAUGGGGGAUAACUGACCGAAAGGUUAGCUAAUACCGCAUAUGCCGCAAGGUAAAAGGAGCAAUCCGUCUGAAGAUGAGCCCGCGUCCGAUUAGCUAGUUGGUAGGGUAAAAGCCUACCAAGGCUACGAUCGGUAGCUGGUCUGAGAGGAUGAUCAGCCACAAUGGGACUGAGACACGGCCCAUACUCCUACGGGAGGCAGCAGUGGGAAUUUGUGCAAUGGGGGAAACCCUGACACAGCGACACCGCGUGAGCGAAGAAGCCCCUUGGGGUGUAAAGCUCUGUCGACAGGGACGAAAAAAAUGACGGUACCUGUAGAGGAAGCAUCGGCUAACUACGUGCCAGCAGCCGC
rnacentral:rRNA from 1 species